CGUCCGGCCCUGUUGCAGCGGCUGCCCGCGGGCGGCUUGUGUCCGCCGCUUCCCGGGGCGCGGAAUCCUCCAUAGGGAAGUACACCGGCAGUCAGGCCGGGCCCUGCAGGGCUCCGCGCCGCUGGCGGUGAGUACGCCUCUGCCAGAGCGGCUUUUUCCCCAGCAGAAGGCCGGAGGGCCGGUAGCUCUGUUGGAAAUGUAGCCGCCGUAUUGUGUGCCGAAGUUGUGAGAAUCGCUCCCGUUGCUGUCAAUCCGUUACAACAUCAGAAGCGUCGCAGUUCAGAGGAGUGACCUACAGGCAGCCCGGCCCCGUCCCAGUGUCUGUUUUGGUGCGUAGCACUAAGCCGGGGCUCGGAGGGAAGAAAAAGCACAAGGCCCGAUUUAAGAUCCUGCUGUGACUACUGCUACUGAGGCUCUGGGACACGGGUACACAAGGACUGCAAGGUGACGACAAUCCCUUUGUGUGGCCUGGCUUGCAGACUGCUAAACCACAGCUUCUGUCGGUAGAAAUGUGGACGGUGACAAAGCAUCACACAGUGCUUGAGUUUUUUCCUCCUGUUAUGCCACCAAAAGCAGCAGCCCGCAGCCUGAGAAGACACUGUUCUUCCAACAUGCAGAAAGACAAAAGAUCUGCUUUUGUACAGUUAAUCCAACACAGAUGAAAGUGACUAAGCUGGGACUUACUCAGUACAUGUAAAACAAGGA